UACGAAGGGGGCUAGCGUUGCUCGGAAUCACUGGGCGUAAAGGGUGCGUAGGCGGGUUUUUAAGUCAGGGGUGAAAUCCUGGAGCUCAACUCCAGAACUGCCUUUGAUACUGAAGAUCUUGAGUCCGGGAGAGGUGAGUGGAACUGCGAGUGUAGAGGUGAAAUUCGUAGAUAUUCGCAAGAACACCAGUGGCGAAGGCGGCUCACUGGCCCGGAACUGACGCUGAGGCACGAAAGCGUGGGGAGCAAACAGG
rnacentral:rRNA from 1 species